rnacentral:rRNA from 1 species
UACGUAGGGUCCAAGCGUUAUCCGGAAUCACUGGGCGUAAAGCGUGCGUAGGUGGUUUGUUAAGUGAGAUGCGAAAUCCUGUGGCUCAACCAUAUGGACUGUUUCUCAUACUGGCAGACUUGAGGAUGGUAGAGGCAAGUGGAACUGGCAGUGUAGCAGUGAAAUGCGUAGAUAUUGCCAAGAACACCAAUGGCGAAGGCAGCUUGCUGGGCCACACCUGACACUAAGGCACGAAAGCGUGGGGAGCGAACAGG